rnacentral:rRNA from 1 species
GAUGAACGCUGGCGGCGUGCUUAACACAUGCAAGUCGAACGAAGCACUUUAUUUUAUUUCCUUCGGGACUGAUUAUUUUGUGACUGAGUGGCGGACGGGUGAGUAACGCGUGGGUAACCUGCCUUGUACAGGGGGAUAACAGUUGGAAACGGCUGCUAAUGCCGCAUAAGCGCACGGCAUCGCAUGAUGCAGUGUGAAAAACUCCGGUGGUAUAAGAUGGACCCGCGUUGGAUUAGCUGGGUGGUGAGGUUACGGCCCACCAAGGCGACGAUCCAUAGCCGAGCGGGGAAGGUGACCGGCCACAUUUGGACUGAGACACGGCCCAAACUGCUACGGGAGGCAGCGGUGGGGAAUAUUGCACAAUGGGCGAAAGCCUGAUGCAGCGACGCGGCGUGAGCGGAGAAGUAGUUCGGUAUGUAAAGCUCUAUCAGCAGGGAAGAUAAUGACGGUACCUGACUAAGAAGCACCGGCUAACUACGUG